GAUGAACGCUGGCGGCGUGCCUAAUACAUGCAAGUCGAGCGAACAGACGAGGAGCUUGCUCCUCUGACGUUAGCGGCGGACGGGUGAGUAACACGUGGAUAACCUACCUAUAAGACUGGGAUAACUUCGGGAAACCGGAGCUAAUACCGGAUAACAUGUUGAACCGCAUGGUUCAACAGUGAAAGACGGUCUUGCUGUCACUUAUAGAUGGAUCCGCGCCGCAUUAGCUAGUUGGUAAGGUAACGGCUUACCAAGGCAACGAUGCGUAGCCGACCUGAGAGGGUGAUCGGCCACACUGGAACUGAGACACGGUCCAGACUCCUACGGGAGGCAGCAGUAGGGAAUCUUCCGCAAUGGGCGAAAUCCUGACGGAGCAACGCCGCGUGAGUGAAGAAGGUCUUCGGAUCGCAAAACUCUGUUAUUAGGGAAGAACAAAUGUGUAAGUAACUAUGCACGUCUUGACGGUACCUAAUCAGAAAGCCACGGCUAACUACGUG
rnacentral:rRNA from 1 species